rnacentral:tRNA from 1 species
CGGGGUAUAGCUCAGUGGUAGAGUGCAUGCCUAGCAUGCACAAGGUCCUGGGUUCAAUCCCCAGUGCCUCCA